GUGUCAGCCGCCGCGGUAAUACGUAGGGGGCAAGCGUUAUCCGGAAUUAUUGGGCGUAAAGAGUGCGUAGGUGGUUUUGUAAGCGAGAGGUGAAAGGCUACAGCUCAACUGUAGUAAGCCUUUCGAACUGCAAAACUUGAGUGCAGGAGAGGAAAGUGGAAUUCCUAGUGUAGCGGUGAAAUGCGUAGAUAUUAGGAGGAACACCAGUGGCGAAGGCGACUUUCUGGACUGUUACUGACACUGAGGCACGAAAGCGUGGGGAGCGAACAGGAUUAGAUACCCUGGUAGUCCACGCCGUAAACGAUGAGCACUAGGUGUCGGGAUCGCGAGGUCUCGGUGCCGCAGCUAACGCAUUAAGUGCUCCGCCUGGGGAGUACGCACGCAAGUGUGAA
rnacentral:rRNA from 1 species